GUCCCCCAAAACCCUAGCCCCCCUCCACUUCCUCGACGGCCUCCUGCGGCGGCGAACGGCACGCACGACGGGCCCCCGCCCAGCGGCCGGCGAGAGCGGCGCCGUCUCGCUGUGCUGUCGCCAGCGCCCGCGCCGAUAGAGGCGGAUGGUGCGGGUGGCGGCGGCGGCGGCGGCGGCCCUACCGACGGUGCCGACCAACUGCUGCGGCAGCCGGCGGCCGGCCCGACCGCCUGGGGCAGCGAGGGCGGUCGCGGCAAUCGUUGGCCCGGUCGGAUCUGCACCGUCCCUGGCCGGAUCCCUCGCCGCUUCGGCCGGGUUCGUUCAGCCAGCCGUCUCUGCGGGCUGGUGUAAUCGCCGUCGUUUGCCUCUUCGUCCUUCUCUCUCCCACCCACCUUCUCGGCUUCUCCUCCCACACAUCCGACACACACUCUCGCGGCGGCGGAAGCCGACCAACCGAGCAGGAGCAGCCGCCGGCGACGAUGGGCGACAGCCAGUACUUCUCCCUCACCACCUUCAGAGGUUUUAUAUUUUUCGAACUAAAACUGCCAAAACACAUUGGAGAUUACUGAAGAUUGAUAGAUUGGAGCCAUCAGACCUUGACUUGCAUGAGUGUCCUUCCGUGUAUACACAGUGAAUAUUGUGGACUGUUCAAAAAACUUGAUGAAGAGCACAAGUUGACUGGUUGCAGUUAAAAAGAUGAAGGGAAAGUUUUUCCAAUGGGAAGAGUGCAUUAGUCUGCGAGAAGUGAAGGCAGUUCAAAAAUUAAAUCAUCCCAAUAUUGUGAAGUUCAAGGAGCUAGGUGACGAUGGAAAAUCACGAGUUCUUCUUCAUCUUUGAAAACAUGGAAUUUAACUUGUAUGAUGUCGUAAGAGAAAGGCAAACAGCUUUCUUAGAAGAGGAUAUUCGGAAUUUUAUGGUGCAGAUACUGCAAGGUCUUGUAUAUAUGCAUAACAAUGGUUAUUCCACCUCAAACCUGCAAUUUGACCGGAUUAUUGUCAAAUGAAGGUAUCGAGCUCCACAUGUGCUUCUGCAGUCGUCAGCUUAGACACCUGAUAUGUGGGCUGUUGGUGCGAUUUUUGCUGAGCUUUUUACUCUGUCUACACUUUUCCCUGGUCAAAGGUUCCCUCUAGCAGCUUUAGCAGAUAAGCUUCAUAUAUUUGUGACUACGAUUCAAUAUAAUUAUACUUACCUUUUCUUUUUCUGAUCAAGACCAGCUGUUGGGUGAUGACUGAUGACACUCUGGUGUAUGAUGGUGAUUAUUACAUCUCUCCGGUUAAACUUUGUCGGCAUUGAUAGGUACAAAUAUGAACGACUGGACAAGAAGGAUUGGAAAUGACAGGCAUCUCCUGCCACCAGCUCAGGAAGAAGGUGUUUUUUUUUUCCUUUUUUGCUUCCCUUGAUUUUGGGUGGGGUUUUCUAAUUUCAUCCAGGGUCUUCACUUCAGUUCCUCCUUUGCUUUAGGACCAAACCCUUUGAGGCUUUUAUCUUUCUUGCUUCAGUUUGUGCCAGCAUUCGCUGCGGCCUUGGUUAAGGUUCAUCGUUUUCUUAUCCUUAAAAAAACAUUUUAAAAAUCGCGGUUCUUGGUGACAGCCGCGUGAAGGGAGUAAAGGGUGGUAAACUCCUCUGGUUGUUUUAAUGAGAGACGUUCUGGAUUUGUCGGCCGUCUGAUCUACAAACUUUAGUAUCUUGUUUACAUCUUAUUCUGUUUCUGAUCUCUCAUCCGAGUACUGUACCGGUUUGUACACAAACCUAAACUGUUCUUUACGCCACAUGAGUUCUUACAUAGUAAUGUUUUCUUCUUUCUCCACUGAAGUUUGCUAGAUUGUGUUUCUAUUGAUGGACAUGUUUGGUACAUGUUAUUUCCCUUCUCAUUUCUAGAAACAUUUCUGCUUUCCUAACAUAUCUAUGUAUGUAAUUUACCAUCCAUGUCCGUCUGAUGCGCAAUUAGUUUUUUUCUCUUUUUUCCCACUGUUCAAGUAUUUCUUAUUUCGCUUGUGAAUUAAUUCGUCCAUUUCUUUCCUCCUACUAAAAAAGAUGAGUGCCGAUAAAUCUGGGGGUACAGUAAUGAGUGAUACUAUUAGGUAAAGGAUCACUUCGGAUUGGUAGUUUGGUACUGCACAGUACACAAAACAAGGGGGUAUUUUGAUUCUUUGCCUUGUGAUCCAUUAUUGAUUAAGGAAUAUGAUGUUGGACAUGUACAUGGGUCAUUUUCCUUCCCUCGUUUUAGGGUAACAUCUGGGUAGUUCAGUUCAUGAAGGACCAGCUAGCUUUUAAAAUGUAAUCCUUCAUGUUUGUUUAUCUACCAAGUCCAAAAUUGACGCUUUUGAGGUUAUAUGCUUAAAUUAUAAUUAUAUAACUACUCAUGAUACCAUCUAUAUGGUUUAUGCCUUGUUGCUCUCAAGCAGGAUGCUAAACAAAAGCGGAUGUUAAUUUGAUGUGCAUAUACAUCUGAAUACCUCUGUUUAAUUCCUACUGGUUAGUUUGUACUGAUUGGAACUUAGUCGCAGGAUGCAUUGAUUGUGAAGCCUUCAGAGAAAUCACCUCUCGCGUUGAGAAUGGUUGUUUUUGGUACGACUAUGAUCUACGUGAUAUUUAUUUGCACAACGUGUAUGAAACAACUAGGAAGUGGUAUCUGCUCUAGAAUAGUGAAGAUCGAAGUUGCGGAGCAGUCAUGAAAUAAGUCUGCAAUCACGCCUUCUGAGGUUCAUUUUGUACAUUACCCACAACCAAUACUUAUAGCAGGUCACAGUUGUGCUGAAGCAGUUUACAUUAUACUAUAUACUUCGAUUGUGUGAUCUCUGAUAUGAAUUUUAUUUUUUACGAGUGGAUGCAUGUGUACCCACUUCGGAAUUAUGUCGUCACAACGUUCUGGAAGUGCCUGGUUUGAAACUCUUCUUAAUAGCAACAUGAAUGUUUGUUCCAGCGGUGAACGCUAUUCACAGGCAAGGUGACUAUAACUAUUUUAUGCACAUCAAUACGACGAGAAAGUACAAGCAACCCAGAGAUUUGAUAACCCAUACCUUCGUCCCUGAUGAUGUCAGGAUCAGCCGUUA